rnacentral:tRNA from 1 species
GCAGUGGUAGUUCAGUGGUAGAAUUCUUGCCUUCCAUGCAGAAGACCCAAGUUCGAUUUCUAGUCAGUGUA